AGUCUCUCCCUGCUCCCAACACUCUCAGCCAUCCGAGGGGAGGGGGUACUAUAUUAGGGGGGUCUGCGCUGUAUAGGGAGGGCUGUCUGCGCAGUAUAUGGGGGGUCUGCGCUGUAUAUGGGGGGCUGUGCAGUAUAUUGUGGGGUCUGUGAAGUAUAUUGGGGUGGCCUGUGUGUUAAAUGUGGGGGGCAGUGUAUUAUAUUUGGGGGCUGUGCAUUAGAUGGUGAGCUGUACGGUACGUGUGGCCUGUGUGUUAUAUGUGUACAACCCUAGUUUCACAAAAAAAUAUUUAUUUCCUAGAUAUCAUAUGCCAUGGCAUGCUUUUUGCUAUGAAACCGCAGCCAUCUAGUCACUCGCCAGAGAAGGAUGAGAAACUGCACCCCAGCGAGAGGGACAGCCCCACAUCUGCAACCAAAUCCGUCGGUCACCGAAUUCAGUAAUCUCCGUCUCUUUGUGCAUUGUGCAUUGUGUAUGUAUGGUACUCCCAAUUCUUAUAUUUAAUCCGGUGUGUCUCCCACAAUCUUUGUGUCUGUCUGCUGUAUGUAUGUGGCACGCAAGUCUGCUUGCACUGUGUCUGUUAUGCCAGUUACUCUAACCAGUUUAUUUCUUUUUGUGUGUGUCACAACUCUGACAAGCAUGUUCUCCUAUGGGACACGAAGUACAUGAAGAGGAAUGAAGAAGCCCAUGUUUGAUGCUGGUCUCCAGGGUGGAGUAUUGAAUUUAUAACUAAUGAAGUGGCAUCUGACACAUGACAAGCUGCUCCUGUUUGCUCAACAACUUCAACAUUGUGUACUUUGAUCACAGCAUACUUCAGAGGUAGGUAACCUUGUGCAGUCCAGAUGCUGUGAAUUACAUCUCCCAUAAUGCUGGCAAACCAUUAUGGGAGGUGUAGUGCAAAACAUCUGGAAUACCGAAUGCGGAUGAAUGCAAAGUAUGGUGUGUGUGAAUGGUCAGUAACAAGGGUUGAAGCCUUGACGUGGCGUUACUGCUCACAUGUGUAUUCAUGUGCCAAUUCAACCAAUGUGAGUCACUGUAAUACUUAUAAGGUAACCAAAAGUACUGUGAUUGUGGAGAAUGAAACGCCUGUAUCACCUACACACCGUUUACACUGUGACCAUAUCUCCUAAACACUGCUUACACUGUGACCGUAUUUCCUAAACACUGCUCACACUGUGACCGUAUCUCCUAAACACUGCUGACACUGUGACUGUAUCUCCUAUACACUGCUGACACUGUGACCGUAUCUCCUAAACACUGCUGACACUGUGACCGUAUCUCCUAUACACUGCUGACACUGUGACCGUAUCUCCUAAACACUGCUUACACUGUGACCGUAUCUCCUAAACACUGCUCAUACUGUGACCGUAUCUCCUAAACACUGCUCACACUGUAAGCACAGACAUGCUUUUAUUCAAAAUUGAAAGCGCUCGAUCAUUCUUUCUAUUUUACGCCUCCAAUCUUCAACAUUGAAAUUGUCAUUUCUAAUAAUAUAAAAUAAGUAAUAUGCUUUCUGGUUACGAUUUGGUGGGUUGUAACUAAAUUUUUUAUUUUUACAGUUCCACAGGGAAGGAGGAAACCGCUUUGAGUCCCUGCAUAAGAGACUAUUGGAUACUGAAAAAUAGCAGUUGACUUUGUGUAUAAG